GUUUCUGUAGUGUAGUGGUCAUCACGUUUGCCUAACAUGCAAUAGGUCCCCAGUUCGAAACUGGGUGGAAACA
rnacentral:tRNA from 1 species